rnacentral:tRNA from 1 species
UGUCCGGUAGCUCAUCUGGUUAGAGCGCCGCCCUGAUACGGCGGAGGCAGGUGGUUCGAGCCCACCCCGGACAACCU